GUGGAUUAGAUACCCUGGUAGUCCACACCGUAAACGUUGGGCGCUAGGUGUGGGACACAUUCCACGUGUUCCGUGCCGCAGCUAACGCAUUAAGCGCCCCGCCUGGGGAGUACGGCCGCAAGGCUAAAACUCAAAGGAAUUGACGGGGGCCCGCACAAGCGGCGGAGCAUGCGGAUUAAUUCGAUGCAACGCGAAGAACCUUACCUGGGUUUGACAUACACCGGAAAGCUCUAGAGAUAGAGCCCCUUUUAGUCGGUGUACAGGUGGUGCACGGCCGUCGUCAACU
rnacentral:rRNA from 1 species